UUUUAAUUGUUUAUCUGCAAUAGAUAUCAUACAUUUUGAAAAUGUAGUUGACUUAAAUUUCUUUUUUAAGAAACGCUUGUCAAGGUAUUAUAAUCUAAUAUGUGUAUUGAUUAAAUGCAAGGAGCAUUGAAAUGGUAGAAAACUUGUGUAUAUUAUUUUUUCAAAAUUGAAAGUGUGAAACUGAAAUUUCAAGUUAAAAUAUAUUUUUCUUUUUAAUUUAGGAUAAUUGUUAUUGUGUUUUUUAAUUACAUGUAUUAAAUUUUGUAAAUCAAAUAGGGACAGCCACUGACAUACAUUAUUGAUCAAAUUCUUUGAAUAUAUAAAGGUUGGGGAGGUUGCAUUGUUUUACCAUGACUAAAUAGCUGACAAAGCAUAUUCACCUUAUUUUUUCCCAAUAUUGUGUUUUGUGGUCUUUUACAGCAUAUACUGAUACUUUUGAUUUUUUAACGGAGAUACUUAUUAUGGUACACUGCUUCCAUUUAUUGUAAUGAACUCCAAGAAUUCUUCUUUUUUCUUUCAAAUUAGAAAAACUUGUCAUUCAGAAUAAAAGUGUCAGGUAAUUAUU
rnacentral:sRNA from 1 species